rnacentral:rRNA from 1 species
CUACGGGAGGCAGCAGUGGGGAAUAUUGGACAAUGGGGGAAACCCUGAUCCAGCCAUGCCGCGUGUGUGAAGAAGGCCUUUUGGUUGUAAAGCACUUUAAGCAGUGAAGAAGACUCUUCGGUUAAUACCCGGAGACGAUGACAUUAGCUGCAGAAUAAGCACCGGCUAACUCUGUGCCAGCAGCCGCGGUAAUACAGAGGGUGCAAGCGUUAAUCGGAAUUACUGGGCGUAAAGCGAGCGUAGGUGGCUUGAUAAGUCAGAUGUGAAAUCCCCGGGCUUAACCUGGGAACUGCAUCUGAUACUGUUAGGCUAGAAUAGGUGAGAGGAAGGUAGAAUUCCAGGUGUAGCGGUGAAAUGCGUAGAGAUCUGGAGGAAUACCGAUGGCGAAGGCAGCCUUCUGGCAUCAUAUUGACACUGAGGUUCGAAAGCGUGGGUAGCAAACAGGAUUAGAUACCCUGGUAGUCCACGCCGUAAACGAUGUCUACUAGUCGUUGGGUCCCUUGAGGACUUAGUGACGCAGCUAACGCAAUAAGUAGACCGCCUGGGGAGUACGGCCGCAAGGUUAAAACUCAAAUGAAUUGACGG